AUCACCUAGAGACCUUAUUAAAAUGUAGAUUCCGAACAGGAGGUUGGGGUGGGGUCUGAGACUCUACAUUUCUAAUAAGUUCCCAGGUGGUACAGA
rnacentral:pre_miRNA from 1 species